UGUGGUGCGUGUGGAGUAUGGGUUGGAAAGGUUCACUCUUUUCUAAGCUUUUCUAAGCUGUGGUGCGUGUGGAGUAUUAUUAGGAGUCCAUCCCACGUAGAUUAAUUUAGUGGAAGAUCGAUCAUGCGUGUAUAAGUGAGGAAUAUUAUUUCCGUUAGUACGAGGCAUUUUGUGGUAGCUCAAAGCAGUCAUACAAACUUAUGCUUAAAGUGGAUAAUAUCUUAUCAUUGUGAAGAUUCGUGAUUCCUAUCGGUACGAGCAAAAAGAGAGGGCAGCCGCCAUUAUUUUACUCUGCAAUUAGGGAUCUAACUCAGCUUUCUUCAUAUCUCUCAGUCAGCUGAACACAGCUCAAAGAAAAUUGGAAAUCCAUAAAGCCAGCUCACGUGGAAGCAUAUGAUCUUUUCGUUAAAGUAUAUUUCUCCGACAGUUUUUAUACGAUCUUUCCAAUUCAACUGUGGAUCAGGUAAAAAUUCAAACAUCUUAUCUGUUAAUUUUCAGUUAAACUAUGAAUUAGGUAUGAAAUCGAACGUUAUGAUAUUUUAGCUUUAGUUAAACUAUGAAUCAGGUAAAAAUUU